GACUAAAUGUUAGAUAGCAUCUUUCAAAAGCCUUUGAAACAUCUUAGAGCUUUAUUCUGUAGAAAUGCCAAGAUGGGUGUUUUCUGCUUAUUCAGAAGCUCAUAACCCUUCCCUGAAAUCCUCUAAACCCUUCCUUUCAUCCCUGGCCUGUUCCAUCCCCGGUGACUGACAGGCCUGUAUUUUUUUUGCCAGCUUCUUCUGAAGUUAGAUAGUUUUGCGGGAGGGCCAAACAAAUGAUGAAGAAAGUGCUGACUGAUAGGCCUUGGUGUGAUCUGCAAUCAGCCCGUGGGCCUCAACUUCGUGACUUCUUCCAGGUAUGAUUACGAGGAGGUGGAAGCUGAGGGCGCAAACAAAAUGAUGAAGGACUUGGAGGCCCUGAUGUUUGAUCGCUCCUUUGUGGGGAAGCAGUUCUCAGCAAAUGACAAAGUUUACACUGUGGAGAAGGCCGAUAACUUUGAAUACAGCGACCCAGUGGAUGGAAGCAUUUCAAGAAAUCAGGGCUUGCGGCUCAUUUUCACAGAUGGUUCUCGAAUCAUCUUCCGACUGAGCGGCACUGGGAGUGCCGGGGCCACCAUUCGGCUGUACAUUGAUAGCUAUGAGAAGGACAUUGCC
rnacentral:sRNA from 1 species